GACGAACGCUGGCGGCGUGCUUAACACAUGCAAGUCGAACGAAGUGGCGAACGGGUGAGUAACGCGUAAUCAACCUGCCCUUCAGAGGGGGACACCAGUUGGAAACGACUGCUAAUACCGCAUACGGAAGAAGGGGUUGGCGUCUGAUUAGCUAGUUGGGGGGGUAACGGCCCACCAAGGCGAGGAUCAGUAGCCCGUCUGAGAGGAUGAACGGCCACCUUGGGACUGAGAACCCGCCCAGACUCCUACGGGAGGCAGCAGUGGGGAAUCUUCCGCAAUGGACGAAAGUCUGACUGAGCAACGCCGCGUGAGUGAUGACGGCCUUCGGGUUGUAAAGCUCUGUUAAUCGGGACGCGGUACCGGAAUAGAAAGCCACGGCUAACUACGUGCCAGCAGCCGCGGUAAUUC
rnacentral:rRNA from 1 species